CCACUUUCAGCAACGGAUCUCUUGGCUCUCGCAUCGAUGAAGAACGCAGCGAAAUGCGAUAAGUAAUGUGAAUUGCAGAAUUCAGUGAAUCAUCGAAUCUUUGAACGCACCUUGCGCUCCUUGGUAUUCCGAGGAGCAUGCCUGUUUGAGUGUCAUUA
rnacentral:rRNA from 1 species